GCCCGGGUGCUGUAAUUGGUAGCCAGAGGGGACUUAAAAUCCCCUGGUCGCAAGGCCGUGUGGGUUCGACUCCCACCCCGGGCA
rnacentral:tRNA from 1 species